UGAAGAGAUUAGGGGUGUCCUUUGUGAGACAAAUGAUAGUUGUCUCUCCAAAGGGCUGAGAAAUACCCAUUGAACCUGUUCGGGUAAUGCCGUCGUAGGGAUGAUGUAUGCUUCUGGAU
rnacentral:ncRNA from 1 species